GUCUUGUCCUCCUAACAAUCUUACUCCUUUCAACUGUUUUCUGUGAUUUUUAUAUAUAUAUAUAUAUGUAGAUAAAUAGAUAGAUAUGAGUUCUUGUUUUUAUGUAUUUUUCUUCUGCACUCUGGAAUAAUCUUCAUGAAGAAUGGUAAUUUGCUCAGCAGCCACUAGCUACACUUGGGGAAAAUGCCAAGCACUCUUAACUACUGUGUUCACUUGGAAAUUACUUCACUGGCACUUGUCUGGGAACACAGAAGAGACACAACCUAAUCGAUCCAUAAAGGACGGAAACUAUUUCUUUAUUCACAACAGAUGACAGUCAUGUAUUCAGAAAUAAACUUUUCUAGGAAGCAAAGGAAUAUAGUAGA
rnacentral:lncRNA from 1 species